rnacentral:rRNA from 1 species
UACGGAGGGAGCUAGCGUUGUUCGGAAUCACUGGGCGUAAAGGGUGCGUAGGCGGGUCUUUAAGUCAGGGGUGAAAUCCUGGAGCUCAACUCCAGAACUGCCUUUGAUACUGAGGAUCUUGAGUACGGGAGAGGUGAGUGGAACUGCGAGUGUAGAGGUGAAAUUCGUAGAUAUUCGCAAGAACACCAGUGGCGAAGGCGGACUCACUGGCCCGUUACUGACGCUGAGGCACGAAAGCGUGGGGAGCAAACAGG